UCUCUACACUUCCUGAAAUUCUCAAUUAGGCCAAGUCCUCUUUAUGAAUUGGAGCAGCUUUCCAUCCCCUCUCUGAGGAGGUGAGUCUCCCCUGACCUGGAGAACCCAUAAUGGCCUCCCCAGAGAGGGGUGAUGAUCCCCCUAAGCAGUGUCUCCACAUCCUUUCACCAUUUCUAGCCCUAUGACCAGACUCAAGCCAGAACUCAGACUAACCCAUCUGUUUGGGGCCUGGAACUUCUUUGAGUGUGAACUUGCUCUUUCUGCAGUCAAUUCUUUCCCAGUGUGUACCACACACCUUUCCCAUGUCACUUCGGAUGCCUUGGUUUCACCUACCUCUGGUGUCUUCUACCUGCAGAACCGCUAUUCUGGAAGCUUUAGAGGAGGCUGGUCUUCUUCAGCAAAAAGAUGAUUGCCUGGGAUGUCGGUUUCAGUUUUGAAAAUGUCACUGGAAGGAAAACCUCAAGUGAUACUGUGGCUGUUUCUCCCGUGUAUUUUUCACCAGCUCUUAAUUAUAGAAUUUUGCCUUAUUCUAUGAUGGGAAAAUAUACAUGCCAUAGAAUUUACCACAUUCAUUAUUUUUUUUUGUGUACAGUUCAGUGGCAUUAAGUACAUUCACAUUGUGGUGCGACCAUCAGCACCAUCCAUCUCCAGAACUCAUUCAUCAUCCCAAACAGAAAUUCACACCCAUUUAACACCAACUCCCCAUUCCCCCUCCCACAGACCACCAUUUUACUUUCUGUCUCUAUGAACCUGACUACUCUAGACCUCAUCCUAGUAGAAUCAUACAGGAUUUGCCUUUUUAUGACUGGCUUAUUUCACUUCACAUAAUGUCCUCAAGGUUCAUCCAUGGUAUGGCAUGUGUCAGAAUUUCCUUUCUGUUUAAGGAUGAAUAAAUCAUAGGAUUUUAAAGCUUAAAAUUCUAAAAGUUUUCCUCUGUUCACUAAGGGGAAAA
rnacentral:lncRNA from 1 species